rnacentral:lncRNA from 1 species
GGAAUGAUUCAUAUAGGGAAAAAUCAUGUUCUCACAGUUUCCCUCUUUGCUCAGAAACAUGAAAGGUUUUCGGGCAAAGAUAAGCAAGCAAAUACGAGCGACUUUUGCCCGUUUGAAAAUUCCGUUGUGAAGCACUUUGAAAAGUUUUGACCGCACCCUGGUUCAGAGGUUGCCUACAUAUCCUGGGCUAAGCAGGAAUCAGGUCAGUGUAGUUUGGGAGUGUUUGGCAACUGGGACUACUAGGAGCUGUGAUUUCACUGCGAUUGUUGCCGCUACAGCUUGCUGACCUCCCCUAUUACAUCAUGUCAAAGAUAAAAAACAAAAAAAGCCAAGCCAUAAACUAUGAAUUACAAAAGACCUAUCUAAAAAUCUUCAAACUUGCUCUUUCACUUCAUUGUUGUCUUGUAUUCUCUCUUGUUGCCUUGUAUUUUCUUUGGUGAAACUCAUUGUUGUUACUUCAAAUCAUGCACCGAGAUGUUGUUCUUUCCCUCCAAAUUGUUGAACAUGAUUAAACUGAACUUGAAUGUAUUCCUCUGUUCUUCAGGCGGGCUCCUGACUUCACAAAAAUAGACAAAAAUAAAGAAAGCUUUCUUCCCCAUUUUGGAAAACUGGGUGCGUAUUACCAUAUAUUAUCAAAAAUUGAAAACUAAAACUUGAAUUGUGAUAAGACUGAAAGACGACUUUAAAAACUGAAAUGUACCUUAAAAUUUGAAAUUUAUCUUAGGAGAAAGAUUCAACAGACUAAAACUUUUCCAUUUUUGAUCUUAGAUAAAAAAUUCAUUAGACUAAGAUUUUCUUCUUAGGAGAUAGAUUCAACAGACUAAGACUUUUCCAUUUUUAUCUUAGGUUAAAAAUUCAUCAGACUAUGAUUUUCAUCUUAGGAGAAAGAUUCAACAGACUAAGAUUUUGACAUUAGGAGAUGAUUCAUCAGACUAGGUCCAUUUGUGUAUGAUCCCUACUUUCUUAAUUUUCCAAAUUCCAACUUCCUUUCUUUUCAAAUUCUGCCUUCUUUUCUUGUUUCCAAAUUACGCCUUCCUUUAUUUUUCCCUAUUUCUGCCUUCCCCUUCUUUAAAUUAUUCCUUCCUUUCUUUUUCCUUAAAUCGUGCCUUCCCUUCUUUCCCAAAUUAUGCCUUUAUCAUAGGUGAAAAAUUCAGCAAACUAAGAUUUCUUUAUCUUAAGUGAAAAUUCAACAGACCAAGAUUAUUAUCUUAGAUGAAAGAUUCAACACACUAAGAUUCUUCAUCUUAGUUGAAAAAUUCAUCAGACUAAGAUUUUUCUUUCAGUUAACCAUUUCCUCCGAACUUGUUUUAACUACCCUCUAACUUGAAUAUCCCCCUUCAGAACCACUCUCCUAAGAACUGGUGCUUCAUUUCUCCGAAAAUUACUUUUCUUAAAACUGGUGUUUCUUUUUUGAAAACUAUUUCCCUCUCUUUUUUUCUCUUUUUUUUAAAACUUGUAUUGACCUCAUGCUUUUUGAAUGGGUACCCGACUUCAAAAACAAUUUUCAAAACGGCAGAAACUUUUCUGCCCCUGCAUAUCUUUCCACCAUCAAUAAUAUUUCCAUGCCCUAUUUCAAAUCAAAGAAAAUUUUGUCAGUUUAAAGUGUGGUGGUUGGUUGUGGUACUUCCGCUAGAGAUGGAUUUCCCUUUUCUCCUUUCCAUGCUAUGUGUUGUACGACCAUCUUUGGAAUGUUUCUUUCUUGGUGAAUCCUUAUUCACAAACUUCCACAUUUUACUCUUCCUAUCGGCUAUGAAUCCCAAAGCACGUCUGUUUCUCCCACAGGAUGUUGUUCUUUCUUGGCCUAUCUGAUGGCCUUGGCCCUGAGGUUUGCUCCCUUACUUGUCAUGAUAACUUUCUUUUAAUUUGAAGACCCCCGCUCGUUUCUUGCCUAAUAACUCCAUUUGCCAUCCUUGGCUUCAAACAUAUCUCUUCUGCAUUCAAACCCUAUACCUUCUGUUUAUUACAUUGCUCCUGGAUUGAUUUUUAACCAACCCUUGUGCCUCACCCUAAAGCAUGUUGAUUUCCCCCUACAGCAUGUUGUUCUUUAAAAUGCACCCCUUGUCUCCUGACCUUGAAGUCUAUUGCUCCUUUCAUUCGACCUUUGUCACAAAAUACCUAUUCUUCGUUAAAACCCAAUACUCUCAAUCUGUUGCAUUGCUCAUGACCUGACAUCUACCAAACCUUUAUGUUUCACCAGGAUCCCCCAACACAUGUUGAUUAUUACUAACUCAAUGCUCUUGUUGUUUUCUUGACUUGUGACACUUUGAUAUGCUAGCAGAUCUUGUCUUCUGCGAUUAGAAAGCUAGUGGCAAAUUUUGAAGUCAUUUCUCACUUGUUUUGACCAAACAGACUCGGGAAGAGAGAGUAAACAAAACGAAGGAACAGAGUAAAUGACGAUAGAAAGAGAUGAAUCCUAACAAGAAAACUAUAAGAUAGAAACCUAUCUGAUGUGGAUACCCACUCAUAUGACCUUGACAUGCACCUGCGGCCUAUUCCGACAAUCAAACUUGAUGUUCAGCUCUUGUUGUACCUUUUCGCUAUGAAACUGGGCUUCAAUGCUCCACCUAUCCAAUUUGAUUUGCAUUCCUUAUCCGGCCUGUAGUGCCAAAGAUUUUUACCAUCAAGCCUCUCUCAUUUUGUUCUUUCUCUCAACUUACCGUUGCCUCAAGGUGAUUGUGAAGGUUUUCACCAAUAAGACUCUCUCAUUUUAUUUUCUCUCAACUUUCAUCACCUUGUUUGGACCGGAUUGUUACCCCUGACAUGAAUUACCUUACCUUCUUGACUAGGCAUUUCUCAAAGACUGACCAAAAGGUCUUUCUUUGGACCGUAAUAUAGGCUUUUGGAUGGGUUAGAAAGAAAUGGUAUAAAAAGGCUCAAAACAAUUUCAAAAUGGGUUAAAAUACAACUUUCGGAAUCCAAUUUCUCAAAACAACUACAACUUCUGCCCCAGUUUCUUGCUUGGGGGCUUUGGAUUUUAUUUUGGUAUGACUGAACCUCAGAGAGGCUGCCUACGUACCCUUUCGGGAUCAAGUCAAACGUAGUUCACGUCAUAGAAACUAUGUUGUUGUGAUUUUCUUUCUAUCUUUUUUCUGUUUUUUC